AGAUUCGAGAAGCUGAGUCGAAUCCUUAACAACUGAGCCAACCUACAUUAGCCAAUCCGGCUCAAAAUGGUUGCUCACUCGAGAUCAUUUUCCAAUAAAAAAACAAAAAUUGGGAAAGGAAGGAACGAAAAUAAUAUCAUAUACCAACAAAUCAUGAAAAAGUAAAAAGGAAAUUGUGCCUCAAAUUUGGUAUCAAGAAAUCAAGUACUCUUUUACUACUGUCACUAUAAGUUAACAAAUGCAGUUGUCAGCAUUUAAGCACAAGAGUUCGAUACAUUGCAGAGAGACAUAGCCAUGGAAUGGAAUGGAUUCAUAUUCAUAUAUUUGACAUGUCAGUGUGCUUUGUUGUCAUAAAGUUUUUAUUCUUCUUAAAAUGCAAUGCUAGGCAAAAUUCGAGAUUCAUUCUAACCCCACCAUAGCAUCUAUCAUCAGAAG
rnacentral:lncRNA from 1 species